rnacentral:lncRNA from 1 species
UUUUGAAAGAUCAAAGAGCUAGCUUCAUGCUUCGGGCGGGGAAAGAAGACAUAAAAUUGGGUUUUCUUUCUUCAUAGGGUUUUGGGAAGACUGAGGCAAUCGUUGCUGAAGUCAGUGUUGUAAUGGUGAAUCGGGAUUUUUAAUGAAGUGGAUUUGAUUACUCUUGACUGUUUUGUGAAAUCAAGUUAUGUCUAUGAUGAAGAAUUAAAAGGGUGUCUAUAGGAUUGAGUAUGCGGAGUGAAUGAAAUUUAUUGGAUUAAUCUAACGAGACAAUCAGUGGAUACAAGUUCGUGAGUAUAAAGCGGUAUCAAAGAUUAGCAGUUUGGGUUGUU